rnacentral:tRNA from 1 species
AAGAUCUUAAGUUAAAUAAACUAGAAGACUUCAAACCUUCCAAUAUGAGUUUAAUCUCUUAGGUCUUA